rnacentral:rRNA from 1 species
AAAUUGAAGAGUUUGAUCAUGGCUCAGAUUGAACGCUGGCGGCAGGCCUAACACAUGCAAGUCGAGCGGUAGCACAGAGAGCUUGCUCUCGGGUGACGAGCGGCGGACGGGUGAGUAAUGUCUGGGAAACUGCCUGAUGGAGGGGGAUAACUACUGGAAACGGUAGCUAAUACCGCAUAACGUCGCAAGACCAAAGUGGGGGACCUUCGGGCCUCAUGCCAUCAGAUGUGCCCAGAUGGGAUUAGCUAGUAGGUGGGGUAACGGCUCACCUAGGCGACGAUCCCUAGCUGGUCUGAGAGGAUGACCAGCCACACUGGAACUGAGACACGGUCCAGACUCCUACGGGAGGCAGCAGUGGGGAAUAUUGCACAAUGGGCGCAAGCCUGAUGCAGCCAUGCCGCGUGUGUGAAGAAGGCCUUCGGGUUGUAAAGCACUUUCAGCGGGGAGGAAGGCGGUGAGGUUAAUAACCUCAUCGAUUGACGUUACCCGCAGAAGAAGCACCGGCUAACUCCGUGCCAGCAGCCGCGGUAAUACGGAGGGUGCAAGCGUUAAUCGGAAUUACUGGGCGUAAAGCGCACGCAGGCGGUCUGUCAAGUCGGAUGUGAAAUCCCCGGGCUCAACCCGGGAACUGCAUUCGAAACUGGCAGGCUAGAGUCUUGUAGAGGGGGUAGAAUUCCAGGUGUAGCGGUGAAAUGCGUAGAGAUCUGGAGGAAUACCGGUGGCGAAGGCGGCCCCCUGGACAAAGACUGACGCUCAGGUGCGAAAGCGUGGGGAGCAAACAGGAUUAGAUACCCUGGUAGUCCACGCUGUAAACGAUGUCGAUUUGGAGGUUGUGCCCUUGAGGCGUGGCUUCCGGAGCUAACGCGUUAAAUCGACCGCCUGGGGAGUACGGCCGCAAGGUUAAAACUCAAAUGAAUUGACGGGGGCCCGCACAAGCGGUGGAGCAUGUGGUUUAAUUCGAUGCAACGCGAAGAACCUUACCUGGUCUUGACAUCCACAGAACUUUCCAGAGAUGGAUUGGUGCCUUCGGGAACUGUGAGACAGGUGCUGCAUGGCUGUCGUCAGCUCGUGUUGUGAAAUGUUGGGUUAAGUCCCGCAACGAGCGCAACCCUUAUCCUUUGUUGCCAGCGGUUAGGCCGGGAACUCAAAGGAGACUGCCAGUGAUAAACUGGAGGAAGGUGGGGAUGACGUCAAGUCAUCAUGGCCCUUACGACCAGGGCUACACACGUGCUACAAUGGCAUAUACAAAGAGAAGCGACCUCGCGAGAGCAAGCGGACCUCAUAAAGUAUGUCGUAGUCCGGAUUGGAGUCUGCAACUCGACUCCAUGAAGUCGGAAUCGCUAGUAAUCGUAGAUCAGAAUGCUACGGUGAAUACGUUCCCGGGCCUUGUACACACCGCCCGUCACACCAUGGGAGUGGGUUGCAAAAGAAGUAGGUAGCUUAACCUUCGGGAGGGCGCUUACCACUUUGUGAUUCAUGACUGGGGUGAAGUCGUAACAAGGUAACCGUAGGGGAACCUGCGGUUGGAUCACCUCCUUA